ensembl:lncRNA
GUUCCAUAAGGGUCCUGUGGGGGCAGCAGCAGGCCUCUGCUGCAGAUUCACUAGAAGAAGAAGGAGGCAGCUAGCUGAAUCUUCAUGAAGCUGAGGAGCAGAUGUUCGUCUGAAGAAGUUUCUGCUGUUCAGGAACACUGAGGAAAGUGGUAUCAGAUUGGGAGUCCAUAUCUGCAGAUGUGAAAUAUUAAAGGACUUGGGUCGGCUCGUGGGCAAAAGACUUGAUUGGGACAUCCCUACAACAGAGACGUAUGUGAUGGGAUUAUAAGAGAAGACAGGACUUUACAACUGUGGAAACAACAGAAGCAAAGUAAUCUAAGUCUCAAAUUAGGUUUUGGUGAUCUGACGAUCUUAUAUCAUGGACAAUCUUAACUUGGCCCACGGUCUGCUUUUCAGAGGAGCAUGGGACGCUGUUAAUGUCACACUGAUGUCGCACUUUCCUGGUCCACCAGGUGACUGUUGUGGUGGGCCUCUAUAUCAUUCAUCUGCCUCUCCAGUGAGUCUUAACACCAACCAGACCCUGCAGCAGGUGAAGAACUGGGUCACCAAGCUCACAGAGAACACAAUAAAAUCCACUCGUGAUGAGAUAGCUGGUUAUCAUAGCCAGCUGGAGUAGAAGAAGGAAGAGUUGGAAUCCUUGAUGAGAGACUCACUGGAGGGGUGGCUGAAUGAGGGCCACCACAACAAUGAACUGAACAAUGGGCGGCUGUGGCUGAGGUGGUAGAGCGGGUCGUCCAAUGAUCGAAGGGUCGGUGGUUCGAUUCCCUCUCUAUCCUAGUCACUUUACCCACCUUGCCUCCAGUGCAGCUACUCACACUGGUAUGAAUGUGUGUGAAUGUUGGUGGUGGUCGGAGCCACGCUUCCGUCAGUCUGCCCCAGGGCAGCUGUGGCUACAGAUGUAGUUUACCACCACCAGAGUGAGAAUGUGUGAGUGAAUGAAUACUGGAUCCAUUGUAUGCGUUUUGAGUGUCUUGAGUGUCUAGAAAAGCGCUAUAUAAAUCUAAUCCAUUAUUAUUAAUGAUUCUGCUCCAAAAGAUUGUCACAUGGUAUUUUGGUUAGAUUGCCCGCCUCUAAUCUGUCAUGCUUGGUUGGUCAAAGAAGAGAAGAACCUUUGCUUGACUUUCGUCGCAUUGCAAUGUCAUCUGGUCAAAGUGUGGAGUCUGGCAGAAGUUGAGCCAGAGUCAUCUUUUUUUUUCUAGGAUACCAUCUUGUUGGUCUACCUUACCCAUAACUCAAGAAAUUGUGAAUUAGGGUUGAACGUGUACUUAUUAUUUAAGCUGUCUUCUCCUACUGGUGUUAUGCCUCAAAUUUCCGCCCUGCAUCAACUUGUGUCAUUUUUCUCUCUAUCUGUACAAAGAUGCUCCUUUUGGGUUCUUAUUUGCUAGGGAAUACUGAUGCAGUGUGUCCGACAGGAGGCACCAGAUGGGCAAAUCAAGACGACACCUUCCAGAUGAUGGACUUCUCUCACCCAAGAAACUGAUGACUCGUCCUGUUAAUUAACCCUUUGCUUUGUUUUUAACCUUUCAG